rnacentral:rRNA from 1 species
UAAGGAAUAUUGGUCAAUGGACGCAAGUCUGAACCAGCCAUGCCGCGUGGAGGAUGAAGGUCCUCUGGAUUGUAAACUUCUUUUAUCUGGGACGAAACACCCUCAUUCCUGAGGGCUUGACGGUACCAGAUGAAUAAGCACCGGCUAACUCCGUGCCAGCAGCCGCGGUAAUACGGAGGGUGCAAGCGUUAUCCGGAUUCACUGGGUUUAAAGGGAGCGUAGGUGGGUAGGUAAGUCAGUGGUGAAAGCCCCGAGCUUAACUUGGGAACUGCCAUUGAUACUAUCUAUCUUGAAUAUCGUGAAGGUAAGCGGAAUAUGUCAUGUAGCGGUGAAAUGCUUAGAUAUGACAUAGAACACCAAUUGCGAAGGCAGCUUACUGCGCGAUGAUUGACACUGAGGC